GGUAGGCAUACCAUGCUUAUCUCUCUUUCAAACUUUCACAUCACCAUUUAAUGCCUAAUCAGACACCUGGAGGACUUGUAACACGCCACCUCAGCUCCAAUCAUUUUUUUCUCGUGUGCCCACUUUUUUUUAUUUUAUUAUUUAUUAUUUUCCCUUCUCUUUUGUGUUCCUUAUUUCAUUGUGAUGGAUUAUUAUCUCUCAUUUUCUUUUGCUUCCUUGGUUUGGUUUGAACUUUGAAAGCCUGCGUUUUAUUGCGUAGCUCUGGGUUACCAAAAGAAGUAUAGAAAGGAGUGGGCCUGAAAAUGGGUUACAUAAUUGUGAUUUCAUUGCCAGUGAUACUGUUAAUUUUGAUCAUAGCACUUGCAUUUUACCUUCUCGGCAGGGCCCGUGGUCGAAGCGAAGCUGUUCCUCAGUAUUAUGGGCCUCCAGCUCCUCCAUUCCAAGCCCAAUCUCCGGCCCAUGAUAAACCACCACAGGUCUAGAUUCGUAUUUUUAAUGUGCUUGUGAAAAUUUGGGAGGUCGUAGUACUUAGAAGAGUACUAUUUUGUUGUAUUUGUGUUAUACAACUAUUGUAAAUUUGUAACGUGCUUGUGUAAAAUCAUCUAUAUCAAAAAAAUUCAAAUAUCAAUAAAAUCAAAUAUUGUUUCCA